rnacentral:lncRNA from 1 species
GUUAUCACCUAUUUUACAGAUGAGAAAAGAUGAGGCUCAGAGGUUGAGUCAAGAUCACACUUGCACACACCUGCAUUGUGACUGCAUUCAUCAUACAAAUGUCAGACUUUAGGCUCCCUGGGCAGUGAUGCAUCGUGCCCCCCACUUCAGCCACAACUGCCACUACUACCAGAGUGGGGGUGAUUCCAGCUCUGUGUCUAACUGGGCUCCCUCCCUGCAUCUUCUCUCUUCAAUUCUGACCCUUAAAGCCAGGAGGGUUAGUGUCCUUCAAAGUGAGGGGCAGGCAGGAACACAGGAGAGAAGGAAACUUGCCUUUCAGAUUAAGUGCCUCACUGGAAGGCAUAGCUCAGCAGAUCACAGACUGCUUAGAUAGCCCAGGAGAGUGGGACUCGCUCUCUGGGGCAGCAGUCUCCCUGAAGGCCUUCCUUCCACUUAUGGGAGCAAGCCUGAUCACACACUGUGGGAUGGUGUGGCCUCACGGAGUACAUGUCCACCUUAAAUUUCUGUGCUUCCUGGAGGAGCAGGUCUGAAAGGAGAGGCAGGCUGGAGGGAGGGGCC